CAGUUCAGUCUCGAUCUGUUUGCCUGCAUUAACAGAGUUCAUUUGUCACCAGUAACACGUUUGUCUGCUUUACAUUGAUAACUAGUGUUUUGUUCGAAACUUUGCAUCUUCAUGAUAACUAAAUAAAAACGUCAAAAUUUGGCCAUUGGAGUUUUGGAAUCGGUAAGAUGUACAACUAUGCUACUACGACAGCCCCUCCAAAAGUUAAGCUAAGUUCAAUUAUUUAUCAGCUAUUGUGAUCAAUAAACUAUAAACCUGCACUCAAACUCCAAUACAUCAAACUUGAUCUUGAUCCUAAGAGCGCAAAAGUUACAAUUACCAGAGCGGCAUACGUGCAUAA